GGAAAUUAAGAAACUGUUUCUUAACUUUUAACUAAAAAAACUAAGAACCGGUUCUUAAAGUCCUUAUUUAAGAACCGGUUCUUAGCUUUUUUUAGUUAAAAGUUAAGAAACAGUUUAUUAACUUCC
rnacentral:pre_miRNA from 1 species